UGCUGACAUCAUCUGCAUCAUUGAUCUGCAUAGUGUGUUGUAUAAAAGACCAAUUAUUGUUUUUAUCAAUAUAACAGCGAUGGCAUCUUGCAUACAAUAACAUAAGCGCUUCAUAUUGAAGCAUCCGCUUAAAGUGUGGCUUGAUAAACCCAAUAAUCGUACUUUUGAGUGAUUCCUAGUGUUUAAAUUGUAAACUGCGCCGUAAAUUAUUCUUUCAACAUAAUUGAUCCAGGCCAUCAAAAUAUUUAGAACACGAAGCCAGUGAAGCUGUUUUGAUGUGGCACAUCAAGCAGGCCCUAACACAUCUCUCAGACUGUUCGCUUCCUUCGCGUAGAAUUUUGAUAUUGACAUCCCGUUUUAAAAGUUAUUGUUUUUUUUUUUUCUAAAUUGGCAAGUGCAAGUGUAAAUACUUAUAUUAGUUUUACAUGGUGAUUUCGAGUUCAUUAAGUAGGUAUAAGAUUCGGUUGUCAUAAUAUUUUAAAAAGGUACUUUUUGAGUACCUAUAUUUUCUAAAGAGAACAGUAAAAUCAAUUGCAAUGUCAGAACAUGAGGUCGUGCCAUUGGAAGCGUUUAAACUCAUACCAAAAUUUGAUGGUGAUGUCCGACAUUUAAAUUUAUUUAUCCGUAAAUGUGAAUACGUGAUCGAAAAAUUUAAAUCGCCCGAAAUAUCCGAAGAGUAUUUAAUGCAAGUAGUAACGAGCCGCUUGAAAGGCGACGCCGCAGCGUUCAUAAGUGAACACGGUGAUGUAAAUGAUUGGGAAACAUUUAAAACAUUAAUAAAACAACAGUUUGAAGAUCCUCGUUCCGAAGCAUGUCUGGCUAUGGUGUUAGAAAAUCUGAAAAUUCAAAUCAAUGAGAAUUAUUCAAACUUCUAUAGACGAAUACAAUCACUAAAGUCAAUCUUACUAUCGAAAGUUGAUCAAACAUCCGAUGCGAAUAUGAAAAAAAGUAAACAUGAUUUUUAUGAUCACGUCGCUUUGCAUGUUUUCUUAUACAAUUUGCCAGAAGAUGUGAUAACAAUCAUCAGGAUGAAAGGUCCUACUACUUUAGCGGAGGCAUUAACAAUGGUUUUAGACGAAACGACUUUUAGUGAUCAGUAUAAAAUUCGGAGUCGAUGUGCACCGCCGGUGAGAUCAGGGUUAAACUUAAACUCUGGAAUCCAACAAGGACAAACAUAUAGGGCGGCAUUUGGGGCUCAAAAUUUCGGUACAUCUGUUACAUCUGGUAUAUCUGGUGCAUUAUUUGGCAGUACAUCGAGCACGAACAGUGGAUUCAAUACCACCUCAGUAAAGCCUGCGGUACCACAGUCAUAUACUUCUUUUGGUAUGAGUUAUCCUACAUCAUCUACUUCUGUACCACAAGCACAACAUUCCGUUACAAAAGACAAAUAAGAGAAAUUCACAACCGUCCGAAGUCGAAAAUCAAAAUUAAAAUAUUUAAUAUCCAAUAUAGUUGGUACUUAUACGUAUAAUCAGUAAUUUAGCCAACCUAAUUGUGUUUUAGAAGGUACAUUAUAUGUGCUGUAUACUUUGACGUAUUUAUCAUACCUAUCUACAUUGACCCAAAAGAUUUGCCUAUAAAAUGGGCAAAAACAAUAUUUCCUUAACUAAAAGAUAGCCUAAGCAUAGACCACAUGAAAGCCGAAUUCAACACCGGUUUUAACGCAAACUUUCCACGUUAUUCUAGUAUAACUAAAUGUGCUCAGAAUGUUUCAUUAAAAGGAUAAUAUAUUUACAAUUCAUGACAGAGAUCUCAUAUGCAUUGAAGAUAUUUAGAUAAAGUAACGGUAAAAUGUAUGUAAAAAAAUAAACAAAUAAUAUUUAUUUUGGAUGUCCUAUUUAUUCAUAAUGAUUAGGCACCAAUAGAUUUUAUCUAUGUUAAAAGCCAAAACAGUAGUAAUUAUUUCUAAAAAUUUUCCGGAUGGUGAAAGAAAGAAAGGUUUAACUCCUGACUAACCAAGCCAAGCAUUUACUGAUGAAGAGUUCCCCUCGGAGACUGUUAUCGACAUUUGCCCGAAGAAGAAGAAUAAGGUCUUCGCAGUGCUUAAAAAACAGCCCGUGCCAAAUAUUAGCUGAUGACCAGUUUUUUUGACAAGGGGAAUUUAUGUUCCUAGACUCAAUAUGAAAGCAUGUACUUAAUUUCAAUUGAAAAAUCUUUAAGGGAAACAUUCCAAAAGGGAUUCUGAAGAGUGUGUAUCAUGAACCAAAAUUACUCUCUGAAGAAUAUAGAAUGUCAGACCCGGAAUUCAGGAGCUGGUGAGACUAAAUUUUAUCGCGGUAUCUAUAAUUAAAUUUUCUCCCGACGUUUCAAAGACUUUACAGCCUUCCUGGUACGCCCCGUGACUACGAAGGCUGCAAACGAAAAUAAAAUCUGAAAAAUAGUUUAAUUUUAACAUUGUAAUUUUAGUUUAGACGUAAAUUACAUAACUUUAAGUUUGAUUUAGAACGUAACCGUUAGGUCAAAUCGAUUUAAUCGUUAAUUUCAAAUUGGGAGCUCGUAAUUGAUUUUAAGUCUAUGUAUAAGAGUUAAAUAAUAAUAAUACAUACAAAUUCCAAUAAAAAUAUUUCUGUAAUUUUAUUGUGUUAAAAAUGUUGACUUAAAGUCAUAUUUGUUACUUUUUUAUGUUUUAUAGAGUAAAGAAGGUAUUUACUUACAGCUACAGUGUCAAUGUACAAUAUAUUUUUAUAUCAAUAUAAAAAAUACAUAGAUAGAUAAUAAAUAAAUAUUGCAUUGUAACAUCCAAUAAAAAUCGAUGAUAAACUGUUGAUAUAAACUUUGGGAAUAUAAUAUGUGUAUCUUAGUGAUUAGAAAACGUACAAUAAACUUAUUCAACCAUUCAAUGUAUAAAAAAUAGUCAUUUACAUGUAAACACUUGCGAAAUUAUGAUAUAUUGACCCGCUACGACUACACCAACCCGAUGAAUAAAAAAAACGUUAGUUCGUACUCAGUUUUUUUUUUAUAAUUGACUAUAAUUCCGCAAUUGGUCGAAGAAACAAUUUUAUAAAAUUUGUAAAUUGAAAAGUUAAAAUACCAAUUGGCAAUAUUGUUUAUAUUUGUAAUAAUGAUUUUUUUGUAUUAAAAAUGAUAACGAA